rnacentral:tRNA from 2 species
GCCCCCAUCGUCUAGAGGCCUAGGACACCUCCCUUUCACGGAGGAGACGGGGAUUCGAAUUCCCCUGGGGGUA